AACAAUAAGCGGAGGAAAAGAAACCAACCGGGAUUGCCCUAGUAACGGCGAGUGAAGCGGCAGCAGCUCAAAUUUGAAAUCUGGAGCCUUUGGCUUCCGAGUUGUAAUUUGCAGAGGGAGCCUCGGAGGGCGAGACGGUCCAAGUGCCUUGGAACAGGAUACCGCAGAGGGUGAGAGUCCCGUAUCCGGCCGAUCUUGCGCUCCGUGUGAGGCCCCUUCGACGAGUCGAGUUGUUUGGGAAUGCAGCUCCAAGCGGGUGGUAAAUUCCAUCUAAAGCUAAAUACUGGCCAGAGACCGAUAGCGAACAAGUAGAGUGAUCGAAAGAUGAAAAGCACUUUGAAAAGAGAGUCAAACAGUACGUGAAAUUGUUGAAAGGGAAGCGCAUGGGGGCAGACUUGGACGCGGGGUUCAGCGUUUCUAUUGGAGCGUGUACUUCCCCGCGUGCAGGCCAGCAUCGGUUCCGGGGGCCGGACAAAGAGGUUGGGAAUGUGGCUCCCCUCGGGGAGUGUUAUAGCCCGGCGUGCAAUGCGGCCACCUGGGACCGAGGACCGCGCCUUGUGCAAGGAUGCUGGCGUAAUGGCCUCAUGCGGCCCGUCUUGAAACACGGACCAAGGAGUCUAACAUCUAUGCGAGUGUUUGGGUGGCAAGCCCGGACGCGCAAUGAAAGUGAACGGAGGUGGGAGUCUGUUACAGGACGCACCAUCGACCGAUCCGGACGUCUUCUGAAGGAUUUGAGUAAGAGCAUAGCUGUUGGGACCCGAAAGAUGGUGAACUAUGCGUGAAUAGGGUGAAGCCAGAGGAAACUCUGGUGGAGGCUCGCAGCGGUUCUGACGUGCAAAUCGAUCGUCAAAUUUGCGUAUAGGGGCGAAAGACUAAUCGAACCAUCUAGUAGCUGGUCCUGC
rnacentral:rRNA from 1 species